rnacentral:rRNA from 1 species
AAUCUAUCAAUAACCACACCGUGAACCUUCUUUGUCUGGCCCAUCAAUUCCCUCCGGGGUUUGGUGCUUCCUGGGCAGCAUUCAUUUGCUGUCCGGGUUGGGCUCGGCUGCCCAAACACUCUUUGGGCAGUCCGGGUUGGUUCUUAUUAACCAACAACACCAAACAAAACCUAAAGCCAUAGAUAUGUGGUCGGCCUAGCCGUCACAUCCUAACUGAGACAAUUCUCAACAACGGAUAUCUUGGCUCUCGCAACGAUGAAGAACGCAGCGAAAUGCGAUACGUAGUGUGAAUUGCAGAAUUCCGUGAAUCAUCAAAUCUUUGAACGCAAAUUGCGCCCAAGGCUUCGGCUUAGGGCAUGUUUGCCUCAGCGUCGGGUUAAUCUCACAACCCCUCUCCCCAAGUGGAGUGGGCAAGUGGACCUGGCUGUUCCAGAACUUGGAAGCAUUCAUUUGCGUCCACCCAAAGGUCUGGAUCAGCUGAAGCAUAGAGGCUAGCUCACGACCCGUCAAGGGCCGCAACUGGGUAGGCAGCUCUCGCUCGCUAUUUCUAGUUGUUGGCUUGGGAUCAUGGGCUUGGCCCUCAAACAGGAACCCUUUUUUUCUCGACCUGAGCUCAAGCAAGAACACCCGCUGAACUUAAGCAUAUCAA